rnacentral:rRNA from 1 species
AGUGAACGCUGGCGGCGUGCCUAAUACGUGCAAGUCGAACGGAAUUUAAAAGGGCUUGCUCUUUUAAAUUUAGUGGCGCACGGGUGAGUAAUAUAUAGCUAAUCUGCCCCUUGCUGGAGGACAACAGUUAGAAAUGACUGCUAAUACUCCAUACUCCUUUUUACCAUAAGAUAAAUCGGGAAAGAAUUUCGGCAAGGGAUGAGACUAUAUCGUAUCAGCUAGUCGGUGGGGUAACGGCCUACCGAGGCUAUGACGCGUAACUGGUCUGAGAGGAUGAUCAGUCACAUUGGAACUGAGACACGGUCCAAACUCCUACGGGAGGCAGCAGUAGGGAAUAUUGCGCAAUGGGGGAAACCCUGACGCAGCAACGCCGCGUGGAGGAUGACACUUUUCGGAGCGUAAACUCCUUUUGUUAGGGAAGAAUAAGACGGUA